rnacentral:lncRNA from 1 species
UUAAACAACUUUAGCAUGUCUUUGUUCUCUCACUAUGUCAUCUGAUUCAAGUUUGUCUAAUUUUAAGACAAAAGUUAAGAGAGGACUACUUAGCAAAAUGAGGUUUCCUUUCUUACUGUAAGAAAAAUUAUAGCGAGUUGUCUAUUGGUUGAACCUAAUGUCUGCAAAAGGUCAAAAAUAAAUUAAGGACAAUGACCGAACUAAAGGUGAGAGAGUAUUUCAUGGUAUGGAUGAACGCUCAGCGAUAAUUGAUUUUGACCUUCAAAACCCUUAUGUUGCUAUAAACAUGGUCAAUUCAAUCCCUUCGUCUAACCUUCUUUUUUCUUUUUGAACUCCACUACCAAAUACUUCUACCUAACCAUCCAAUCAUCUGAACUUAGAUUCUAAUUAUAGGUCGAUGUCUAACUCUAACGAGUUUUUUGCUUUUGCAUCAUCUUGAUCUUUCUUAGACAUCAUAGAGGUUCCUAUUCCAUCUUAGGCUCAAUGACUUUUUUAAACUUCAAAGGCCAAGCAAACCAAUAAGAAGGCUUAUGGAACUAAGUAGGCUCAGAGUUCUGAAAAGGUUGAAGGGUCUAACUACGGUGGGGAGGAAGAUGGAAAUGGUGAGGGAGCAAAAGAUUUCAACAAUGAUAACGACUCCUUUCUUCCCUUUUAUACUCCUAAUUCGAGUGAAGUUCCUCUCAUAAUUGAUGGUUCGCUUCACGAUCCUUUACUUUAUUGUCUUUGUCUCUUGAAUAUUCGAUUUCGAGUGUUGAGGUAUCGGACCAUCCCCGACGCCUUUAUGUUGGGGCAUUUGCUUUGACUUUGGUUAGAAAAACUGCUUUCCCUCCUUAUUUCUUCUUUUCCGAAUGAAGUGACUCACUCUUGUGUGUCAAGAAGGCUCUAAAACAUUUUCUUCUUGCUUUAGUUGUUGUACCAGAAAAAGAAGCAAGUGCUGACUUUUCUUUCUUCCCUGGAUGAGCUACCGUGGGUGUGGGAAGAGCCUUUUCAAUUUACAACUUCCAUUCUUGUUGUAAGGAUUGGCAGUCUGGGAAGUGGCUUAUGUGGUUGUGUUUUUAUUCUUAAUAAUUUUUUUAAGUCGCAAGCUCGAUUUAAUCUUUUUUAACUCAUAAAGUUAAUUUUCUUUUUGUCUUAUUGUAUUGAAUUCUAUUGUGGUAUAAAUAAGGCAUUACAUAAGCAACGAAAGUACAU